GAUGAACGCUGGCGGCGUGCCUAAUACAUGCAAGUCGAGCGAACAGACGAGGAGCUUGCUCCUCUUACGUUAGCGGCGGACGGGUGAGUAACACGUGGAUAACCUACCUAUAAGACUGGGAUAACUUCGGGAAACCGGAUCUAAUACCGGAUAAUAUGUUGAACCGCAUGGUUCAUUAGUGAAAGACGGUUUUGCUGUCCCUUAUAGAUGGAACCUCGCCGCAGUAGCUAGUUGGUAAGGUAACGGCUUACCAAGGCAACGAUGCGUAGCCGAUCUGAGAGGGUGAUCGGCCACACUGGAACUGAGACACGGUCCAGACUCCUACGGGAGGCAGCAGUAGGGAAUCUUCGGCAAUGGGCGAAAGCCUGACGGAGCAACGCCGCGUGAAUGAUGAAGGUCUUCGGAUCGUAAAACUCUGUUAGUAGGGAAGAACAAAUGUGUAAGUAACUAUGCAUGUCCUGACGGUACCUACAGAGAAAGCAACGGCUAACUACGUG
rnacentral:rRNA from 1 species